UUUGAUAACCAUAUGAAUCUCUCUCGGACAAGGUGACUUUUAUCAGUAUAUUCACCUCUAUGUACCCCUCAAAAAUGUCAUGCUAAUUAGCUGCUAAUGUGGCUAUCAUUCAGAAUUACAAAUGCCUGUCUCAAGCUUCACGUCACUCACCAGGGCCAUGAUGGUCUGGACAAGACUGCCGAAUCGAGGCAAAGAACCAAUGGGUGUGCCUGAGUCUUAUCACCUCUCAACUAGGUUAGCUGUUUCAACCUGGAACCGUAUUCCAGGUUUAUAUAUAGCACAUGCUCCACUCUCAAGUUGAAGUUGAACUUGUUGACUGAUGCCAUGGUGGCGGCUGCUAAAAGGAAGAUAGCAGCUGCGAACCAGAAGACUGCAUCCUGGGCAGCCCUGGUCCACACCUGCCCUGUUUGUCAGAGGCAGACCAAGACAUUCAAGCAGCACUUUGAGAGCAACGAUUCCAAGUCUCCAAUGGCCCCGGUACUGGUUGAUGUGCCUAUGUAAACCACUCAAAAGGACCUACAGCUGGGGCAAGAUAGUGUAAACCACCAUGUUGUCAACUAAAUGCUGUCCUCAAUGCUUAAGUUGUAUUGUCUAUGGCUCAAUUUGUGGAAUUCUGUGAUCACUCGUCGUCUUUAAUGUUGUGAUUAUCAGACACACGAUGACCAGGAUUUGAGCGCUGCAACUGAGACGGAAUGACGUCAAGGGACACGCUGAGACCCUGAGUAUGGCAGGAGGUGGGCCGGAUAUUUGUGACAACGAUUUCAAAGGGUUGCAGGCACACUAGCACUCCAUUUUUAUCUUUAUUCCAUGACCAACCUUCUCUCUAGCUACCCCUUAUUCCACACUAUGCCUUUUAUGCCCCAAGGUCCCUCAACUUUGGGCACUUUGGAACUUUCCAUCUUAUCUCUAUAAACGCAGCCUAGCUUCACCCAUUUUCCCUAUGCUGCUUUCUUCCCUUGUUGUUCUUCUGAUUUGAUAACAUCUAGACUCAGUAACAUGUUUAAAAGUUUUGUGGUGUACUGUUUCGCUACCCUUUUCUCCUGUGUAGUGCUGUCCUCCUGCUUUUACCUGGGGUUCAGACAAUGCAGCUCACAAAUGACAGCAGCAACAUGUACCGGUUCAAUUGACAAGCAGGGUGUUGAUAUAGCUGUGUUUAGAGAUGGCUUCCUUGUUUUGAGUGUUAAUUGUGUUUCUCACUCUGCUGGAGUUGAUCUAGUGUUUUCUAUAAAACCUACCUUACGCAUGACAUUUGUCCAUUUGUAACUCGCCCAUCACAAUCACAAUAUGCUGUUUUAUAUUUUGUGCUGGUGUCAGCUAGAGAUGACGUGCAGGAGUUUGCAGGGAUUUGUAGUCUUGUAUGAUGUCGACUUUGAUGCUAAUUAGCCUUUUCGAACCUGAGAGUAAAUAGAGCUGAAUAUAUUGAUGAAAGUCACCUUGUCCGAGAGGUUUACAUGGUUAUCGAAACAUCACACCAGGGUACGUCUGCACGAAACACAACCCUUAUUUGAAGUGUUUCUAAAAUCCACAAUGGAUCAAAUGAAUGCUGGUGAAACAAUUGGGACCAUUUCCAUGUUUGACCGCUAAGUUUUCUGGGUAUUAUGACGCAUCCCCUGUGGGGCUCAAUUGUCUGUUAACCAAGAGGAGAUACCUUUAUAUUCCAUGUCUGCCAUCUAGUGGUAAUGGAGGUUUUGUUCUCACUCGAAUACUGUAUGAUUUGGUGAUGUAUUCAUACACAUUUACUCUACUUUGUUCAUGUGUUGUCAUCUAACCAAAAACAAGCAUUGCUCUUAAUGUCAUAACCCUCAAGUCUUCAGUGGUGUUGUGUGGACUGUGUCCAUGUGCAUUCCAUAGGAAGUGCAUCCCUAUUGAUAAAACUAACACAAAUGUGGUUGUAUUGGACAUGUGAGGCAUGCACUUCUGUUUCUGUUCCACUCCCUGUAUGAUCUGGAUGAUUCCGACUGUAUCUCUCUUAGUUGGGCAGGAUAUCAACCCUGAUAACAUGGUCUUUAACCCAUUAGAUAUUAAUGACGCCAACAAUCAAUAUAAUGAGUGGGUUUAUCCUGGCAAAAAUGUCCUGAAUAUUACCAGAAAUGUCUAUGACUUGUGAAUACUAUAAUGUUAAGCAAUUUAACAACCUGUAAAGAGGCCACCCGAUUCUGACAUUGGUGGUUUGUUUCAUUGAUAUCCUUUUGUCAACCUUGGAUUUAAUUAAUAUUGAGGAUAAGUGUUUUAUAUUGGGUGAUUUACGAGAUAAAUGUAUAAAAGUGAGCACCACUCACUGCAUCUGAUUUCAGCUAUCUAUGAUCCCACAAGAGUGACCAGGUCAUUCUCAUGCUUAUUGAUCAUAUUUGUCAGUAAAAAAAAAGUUGUAUAAACAGUUUCCUGAAUUCUGCAA